rnacentral:lncRNA from 1 species
CAUCGAUAUCCUUGUUGUUGUUCUGCUCCUGCUUCACUAAGUAGAAAGGAAGGUCACCUUACUGCUAGAACAGAUUGUCCUGGGAGGAAUGGAGAGAGACAAAUGUGCAUAGUCAUCUUUUGAAGUGGAGAAUGGAUUAGAACAGGUCUGCAAGCCUGAUCUAACCAGCAAGGUGUUUCAUCCAGCAUGAUGCCUCAUCCUGGAGAGUACAAGCAGCAUCUUGGGAGAGUAUGUAUUACUUCUCACCUUUGGCAGACUGAACUCUGGAUGGAGAGACUGAAUCAUGGUGAGACAACUUACAGGAAGAGCUGUCCUUUGUGGAAAUCAGUUGUACAGUACCCAAUGUUCACCAGGAGAUCACACUCCUUUGCUGGAGCCAGGGGCUGCCGGUUCAGCUGGAAACCACAGUGCUUCUGGAUGACGUUUUCCUCUCCUCCCACUGAAUCAGCCUUUUAUUUACCCAUUGGAAUGCAAAGUAACAGGACACCCUGUGAGUUUUAUCUCUCUCCCAAUCUUUUGUAUCGCUGUCUAAGUUGCCAGACCGGAUUGGAAGUUUUAGCUGCAGACAUAUGUGGGGUGGUUUCAGGGUUGUCUGGCAGGAAUCUGGGUGGGAGGGUACUGUUGGUGAGAUUUCAAUUUGAGAGUCACACUGCGAACAGGAUCCUUGAGACACUGCAGCAAGGAAUACCCUUUGUCACUGACUCCGAAUCUAGCCCUUUGCUGGUGUGGCUAUGUGGAUGGAUGGUGCUGCUUUGUGGAGCUAGAAUUACUGGGAACUGCCUCCACCAGACGACGUUUCCCCUGCAGGCAGCCUGCCUUCACUCC